GACGUAGGGCGCGAGCGUUGUCCGGAUUUAUUGGGCGUAAAGAGCUCGUAGGCGGCUUGUUGCGUCGACCGUGAAAACCCGCGGCUCAACCGUGUGGUCUGCAGUCGAUACGGGCAGGCUAGAGUCCGGAAGAGGAGAGUGGAAUUCCUGGUGUAGCGGUGAAAUGCGCAGAUAUCAGGAAGAACACCCGUGGCGAAGGCGGCUCUCUGGGACGGUACUGACGCUGAGACGCGAAAGCGUGGGGAGCGAACAGG
rnacentral:rRNA from 1 species